GGCAAAAGGGAGACCCCUGUGAUAUAUGCUCAAUGCUUUUUAUGCAUGAAGAAAUCCAUGGGAAAAUAGGACGCUGCCCCUUUAAGACAAUUACAGGACUGCGUGUGGAGCGCAUGUGUGGCAGAGACGCAGAAAAUGCUGGAAAAAGCAUGAGUUAGACGGAACUUUGCUCCUAUAGUUUUGUUUAUUAAACAGCAAAACUUUAGAGAAGCAUAGGAUAAAGUUUAGAGUCGUGUUUUCCUCGUUCAGCGCUGGUUGGGAUUUUGUGAGCAAGUGCUUUGUGUAUCCAUGGGAGAGCGCGUAAGUCUAUUUAAUAUAUUACGAUAAAAUGCGCAAUGUGACUUAAAUAGCAUGACCAAGACUAAUGUCAAGUGAUAUUGUAUGCAGAGGGGAGAAGGUUCUGGAAGAGUUUGAUGUAAUUCUGCGGUACAAGGAUAAUUGUAAGUUUGUUUUAUUUGUACUUAAUGCCAUAGUUAAUGUAAAUGUUUUAUCUACUGAGUUCAAGUCACAUGUUUCAUGUGUACAUAAUCGGUGUGAUGUGCAAAUUGAUGUGUGAGUGUGUGUAAGCAGUUCCUAAUUGUUGCUUUCUGUAUUAAGGAGGCUGCUACCGUUGUCUUUAGAGGGUUAAAUUCUUUUGGGAAAAUUAAGCUGUAUGCACCCAAUGGGUGUUUGAUUUAUUUUAUUGAUGGUUGCUGUUUGUUUAUUUUGUUUUGUUUAUGUGUUCAUUGCUAAGAGCCAGUGAGGCUAAUAUAUUUAAUGCUGUAUUUUCUUUACAAAGAUACAGUCAAGAAUAAAAGAUCCCCACAUAAAAAUAAUUGCUUGUGUGAUCGCCUCUGUAUCUUAACCAUACCAACGCGGGGUCACACAGUUUUGGUGUCAGAAGUGGGAUUCUUUUGUUAGUCUUAGGGGUUCUAGCUAGGUUGGAGAAAAGUGGGUGGCACAUAGACAACGGUAGCAGUGAAGAUUGGUCCAGCACUAGAUGGUGUGGCGUGCCUGGAGGGCCUGAAGAGAGUCAAGGAGUCUGCGUUCCCACAUAGAAGUUUCACCCCAGAGAUCCAGUGAAACGUGCAGUAAAGACUGUUACCCAUUCGUUGCGACAUUCAAGUGCCAUGGAUGAAAACAUGGACGUUCCACAUGCCCAGGCUGGCACCAGUCGCGAGGAGGACAAUGCAGCAGUUCCAGAUCAUGGUGAUGUUGCUAAUCCCAUGUCACAACUCCAGUCACAGAUUUUAGAGUUAGGCAGAAGACAUGAUGAGGUACUGACAACUAUUGCAAAUAUGAGUAAUGUCACUACAAGAUCAUAUGUGUACAUCCCAAGGGAAAAACAGAUUGUGCCUUUUUGUGGUGAGCCUGGUAAAGAUAACCAAACUGUAGACGAAUUUAUUGAAGAAGCAGAACGUGUAAUUCGAGUGAGGGGGUUAACGUCUGAAGACCAAAUAGAUUUCAUUCUUUCCCAUUUACGGGGAUCAGCUUUAGAUGAAGUUAAACUACGCAUGGAUGGGGAAAUAGUGCAACCGCGGGAGCUAUUUUCAUAUUUGAGGGGCGCGUUUAGGGAGAAGCGGACUAUACCCCAGUUGCUUCAUGCCUUUUAUGCACGUAGACAAUUGGAAGGAGAGGAUUUCCGUGAGUAUUCACAUGCUUUGUCCCAGUUACUAAGUUCUGCUAUUCAGCAGUCCCCAAGUGCAGUGUCAAACACUCAACUCACUCUUAGAGAUCAGUUCGUCGAAGGUGUGAGAGACUCCUCUCUUAGAAGGGAGCUCCGUAGGCUAGUUAGAGAAAGACCUCAUUCUACACUGUUUGACAUUCGCGAAGAGGCUAUGAUGUGGUGUUUAGAGGACCGACCUCGUGGAGCUAAUUUGGCUAGGAGUAGGUAUAUGGGUUCCAACCCAGUUGAGGCAACUAGGGACGCAAACACAUCUGACGCUACCCCUUCUGAUUUAGCAGACACCCUACAGGAGGUCGUUAAGUUAGUAGCUCAACAGAGUAAGGCUAUUGGUGAACUAACUAAUGCUGUUCGUGAGCUAGCUACACAAAAAAGCACUUCAGGUAGUAGCCAGAUUAGUAAAUCUAAGUUUAAACCAAGAUACACUGAAGAAGGGCAACCAAUCUGCCUGAGAUGUGAGGGGGUUGGACAUGUAGCGCGGCAGUGUAUGACACAACGUGGUUCAAGGGACCAGUCAGUGGUAAGGCCAAAUACUGUACCCCAAGGGGACAGGGAUCCCUCCACUGCAUCUAGCCGAGCAAUGCUGGGGAAGCCCGAGAGCUCAACAAGUGGUGUGUUGACUAGGGAGAGGUUUCUAGAACGGGCAGUAGGCAGGUGUCCUGAGGUUGAUAUUUAUAUCGGAAGUGUACCUGUUAGAUGUCUACUAGACACCGGGAGUAACGUAAGCACACUGACAGAGAGUUUCUUUAGGGAGCAUCUCCAUGGGGAAGACAAGGACAUGCACUGUACAGCUAACUGGCUUAAGAUAACAGCAGCCAAUAAGCUCCCUUUGCCUUACUUGGGCUAUGUUGAGCUGGACAUACAAGUCAUGGGACUAGUCAUACCAGAAUGUGGGUUUCUGAUUGUUCGCGAUGAGGGUGUAACUGGACCGGAUUCAUCUUCCCCCAGCAUCCUGGGUAUGAAUAUAAUUUCACGGUGUAGGCAGUUGGUUGUGACAGAGUUUGACAAUGUCCUGGGUGGAGAGUUAGAUUCUGUGUGGAGAGAGGCAUUUCACAGAGUACAGGAGGCGGAACUGACUGAGACAGUGCGCACAGCUCGGGUGAGUGGAAAGCAUAAAACCUAUGUCCCUGCAUCUUCUGUAACCACAGUCAAUGCUAGAGUACACAGAAGACGAGUUGGAAGUGAGAACUGGUUACUGCUAGAGUCAGGAGGAUCCCCUUUGCCUGGUGGACUGUUUCCCAUCCCCACCCUGGUGUCACCACACCAACUGGUGUUUCCCGUGCAGGUAGUCAAUUUCUCACAAGAUGAUGUCUGGUUGUCUCCUAAGGUUAGGCUGGGUGUUCUUGGUCCGUGUCGAUCUGUUGACAAAAGCUCUUGCCAUGUAAGAUUUCAGCGUGUUGCGGCAGAUCAUGAGGAGGUAAUUGUUGAACCAGGAAUGACAGUAGGAACUGAAAGUGAGGUGCGAAUGUUUCUACAGAGGUUUCACAUUGGUGGGACAUCAGAGCAGCAAGUAAAGCUAAGGUCACUUCUGUUAAAGUAUGCUGAGGUGUUUUCAACUAGCGAUGAUGAUCUAGGCUAUACAGAUAAGGUAAAACAUGAAAUUCCCUUAACCGAUGAUAGACCUGUCUCUCAGCCACAUAGACGCAUACCACCAAAUCAAUUUGAGGAGGUCAGAGGGCACAUCUCUGAGCUGCUUCAGAAAGGGGUUAUUAGGGAGAGCUCCAGUCCGUAUGCUUCACCAGUUGUGCUGGUGCGUAAAUCAGAUGGAAGUCUGAGGCUGUGUGUGGACUACCGGAAACUGAACUUAAAGACCAGACGGGAUGCGUUUCCUUUGCCAAGAAUAGAUGAAAGCUUGGAUGCUUUGUCUGGGGCCAAGAUAUUCUCGACAAUAGACCUUGCUAGUGGGUAUCAUCAGGUGGCCGUUAAUGAGAAGGACAGGCAUAAGACAGCAUUCAUUACGCCAUUUGGGCUUUAUGAAUAUCAACGUAUGCCUUUUGGCCUGUGUAAUGCCCCAGCAACAUUCCAACGCCUGAUGCAGGCCACCAUGAGUGAUCUGAUUUUCCAGAUGGUGCUAGUCUACCUAGAUGACCUAUUAGUGUAUUCAUCAUCCUUUUGCGAGCAUUUGGACAGGCUAGAGACGGUGUUCCAGAGGUUGAAGGACAAUGGACUCAAGGUUAAAGUAGAAAAAUGCCGUUUUCUGCAGUCGGAAGUUCGGUUUCUGGGUCAUCAAGUCUCGGCACAGGGGGUGAGUGCAGAUCCUGAGAAAAUAGAUGCAGUGAGACAGUGGCCAGUUCCUGGUACCCUUAAGGAACUCAGAUCGUUUUUGGGAUUCUGCAGCUACUACAGGAGGUUUAUUGAAGGGUUUUCUCAGGUAGCGGGGCCCCUGCAUGAUGUAGUAAACAGUUGUCUUAAGGAGAGCAGUCCCUCCAAAGUGCAGUGGCUGUACAGGCAUUCUUGGAACUCAGAGUGCCAGCUGGCUUUUGAAAGCCUUAAGGAUAAGUUGACUAGUUCUCCAAUAUUGGGUUAUGCCAAUUUUACCUUGCCAUUCCUUCUAGAAACAGAUGCUAGCAGCCUGGGACUAGGUGCAGUUUUGUACCAGUAUCAGGGAGGUAAGAAAACUGUCAUUGCUUAUGCGAGCCGCAGAUUGCGAGGGGCUGAGCGAAACGAUAGGAAUUAUAGCAGUAUGAAGCUCGAGCUUCUAGCACUAAAGUGGGCAGUGACUGAGAAGUUUAGGAGUUACUUGCUAGGGUCCAAGCUUACUGUGUUGACGGACAACAACCCACUUUGUCAUCUCUCUACUGCUAAGUUGGGCGCAAUUGAACAGCGUUGGGUAUCCCAACUGGCUGUGUUUGAUUUUGAAGUGCAGUACCGCCCUGGGCGAUGCAAUACAGCAGCUGAUGCUUUGUCACGGAGGUCAGGUUUGGAGGAGCCUGAGUCUGAAGGAGACGAUGUGGAAUAUGAUGAUUGUGUGGCUAUUUGUAAUUCUCUCAAGACGGGGACAGCUUUAGGGCUAGAUCUGCUGGCAGCAGGUGUAGAGUGCUAUGACAUUAGGCAGCUGAGAGCAUCUGAGGUGAACAAGAAUAACGAGGGUAAGGUUGCAUGUGGAAACACUCCUACUCUGCCGGGGUAUUCAAGAACAGAGCUCUGUCAGCUCCAAGAGACAGAUCCUACAAUUAGUGUGUUUUGGAAAUUCUGGAGCAGAAAGGGAAAACCCACCCGGCAGGAAAGGUUAGGCUUGUCAAAACCGGUACUUGCUCUGCUAAAACAAUGGAAUAAGAUUAGAGAGAAACAGGGUCUUUUGUACCGUGUGGUGGAAGAUGUUCACCUGGGUGAAUGCUGUCAAUUGUUAUUGCCUGCCUGUCUGACCGAGCCAGUUCUGAGAAGUGUUCAUGACCAGAUGGGACAUCAGGGGAUUGAAAGGACAGUAGGACUGUUGAGGCAAAGGUGCUUUUGGGUAAGGAUGUAUGAGGAUGUUGAGAGGUGGAUAAAAAGAUGUCAGAGAUGUGUGCUUUCGAAGAUGCCGCGGCCUCGGAUUCAACCAUGCUGGACGCCAUUCUUAGCUUCCCGUCCACUGGAGGUGGUUGCGGUAGACUUUACAGUAUUAGAACCAGCUUCUGAUGGCCGUGAAAAUGUCCUGGUUGUGACCGAUGUGUUCACUAAGUUUAGUCAGGCGUUCCCCACACGUGAUCAGAAGGCAGAGACUACAGCAAAGAUCCUUCUCCGAGAGUGGUUUUUAAAGUAUGGUGUUCCACAGCGCUUGCAUUCGGACCAGGGGCGGAAUUUUGAAAGCGCUGUGAUCUCUGAGCUCUGUCGGCUCUAUGGGGUAAAGAAAACCCGCACCACACCACAUCACCCACAAGGAAACCCCCAAUGUGAAAGGUUCAACAGAACCCUCCAUGAUCUCCUGCGUGCACUUCCACCAGAAAAAAAACGCAAAUGGCCAGAGCACUUAGUUGAGGUGGUCUAUGCAUAUAACGUGACGCCCCACUCGUCCACAGGUUACUCACCAUAUUAUCUGCUUUUUGGUGUUCAGCCACAUCUUCCUGUUGAUGCUUUGUUAGGGCAAGAGCCAGAGACUGAUGUUGAGCCUAAUUGGUUGGCAGUGCAUAGAGAAAGAUUGCAGGAAGCACAUCGUCGAGCAAAAGAGUAUGCUGAAAAGAAGGCUUCAGAGAGGGUUACUCAGCAUGAAGGGAAGGUGUACUGUCCAGGAGUAGAAGUGGGGCAAAUUGUGUAUUUAAGACACCGUCCCCUAGGGAGGAACAAGAUCCAAGAUGUGUGGUCACCGGUGGAAUACGAGGUAGUAGGGGUCCAGGGUUCUACAUAUACAGUGCAGCCGUUAGGUGGAGGGUUGGUCAAACGAGUGCAUAGGUCCAACCUCCGUCCCUGUGUGAGUCCCACCCCAGUGCCAAGACCGAGGUGUUCAGAAGCUCCUUUAAGUGAUGAUCCUAUCCCAAUGUUAGAGCAAGAGGGACAACUCCAUGAUCCACAGUGUGUGUUGGUGGAAAAGGUUAGAUAUCCAAGUGAGGGGCGGGUGCGGAUGCCAAUGGCUGAGAAGUUUAGUCAGUUUCUUCCUGAACCUGAAAGAGAUUUUGGUUGUGAUGUGGAAAAGCCAAUGCAAAGUGAGGCAGUUUCAGGGACAGAUAGCAGUGAUGCUUCGCUGGUUACCAAGAGGCCAGAGCCUGUAUCAUCCCUCCCAGAGCCAGUAUGUGUUAACCUCCCUGCUGAGGAAGUUGAGUCUAGACCUGUGCCUAUCCCAAGGAAGAGAGUAGGGAAAAGCAGCAGGACAGAUGUCCUUUCUCCAGCUCCACGAAGAACACAGAGGGAGACUGCAGGUGUCCAUAGUAACCCGCAUAAUCUGCCUAAGCCAGCCUGUAAGGCAGUGUCUUUUAGUCCAGAUGUUCUGUCUCAGGUUUUAGCUGGUAUGGUCCUUUAUACUUCUGGGAGACUUCAGGGACUGCUAGACGAGUAGGAUGUAAGUAGUCACCGAGGACGAUGACUAUGGGCAGGGGAGAGUGUAACCAGGUGGGUUGGACAGUAAAGUAAAAGGCAAAAGGGAGACCCCUGUGAUAUAUGCUCAAUGCUUUUUAUGCAUGAAGAAAUCCAUGGGAAAAUAGGACGCUGCCCCUUUAAGACAAUUACAGGACUGCGUGUGGAGCGCAUGUGUGGCAGAGACGCAGAAAAUGCUGGAAAAAGCAUGAGUUAGACGGAACUUUGCUCCUAUAGUUUUGUUUAUUAAACAGCAAAACUUUAGAGAAGCAUAGGAUAAAGUUUAGAGUCGUGUUUUCCUCGUUCAGCGCUGGUUGGGAUUUUGUGAGCAAGUGCUUUGUGUAUCCAUGGGAGAGCGCGUAAGUCUAUUUAAUAUAUUACGAUAAAAUGCGCAAUGUGACUUAAAUAGCAUGACCAAGACUAAUGUCAAGUGAUAUUGUAUGCAGAGGGGAGAAGGUUCUGGAAGAGUUUGAUGUAAUUCUGCGGUACAAGGAUAAUUGAGGCUGCUACCGUUGUCUUUAGAGGGUUAAAUUCUUUUGGGAAAAUUAAGCUGUAUGCACCCAAUGGGUGUUUGAUUUAUUUUAUUGAUGGUUGCUGUUUGUUUAUUUUGUUUUGUUUAUGUGUUCAUUGCUAAGAGCCAGUGAGGCUAAUAUAUUUAAUGCUGUAUUUUCUUUACAAAGAUACAGUCAAGAAUAAAAGAUCCC